rnacentral:lncRNA from 1 species
AAGCCGGAUAUGUGGCUGUUCCUGUACCAAGGUGGCACUAAUGGCCUCGGUCGAUACUCCCAAGUAUACUUGUAAGUCUCUGCCCGGGUGAGGUCGAUUCAUGACUGGUGAGUUGGUGAGUAUGGCCUUGACCUUCCCUUUCUUCAUCUUCCAAACGACCGGCCUAAUCCGCUCUGCCAACUUAGGGAUAAAUAGAGAGAGAUGUCAACCUUCCAACCAGUCGUUGUAUUUCUUUUAAGUUAGUAGGAUUCCUCAUGUCAAGUAUGGUUGCACACUUGUCUGGAUUCGCUUCUAUGCCCCGGGC